rnacentral:rRNA from 1 species
GACGAACGCUGGCGGCGUGCUUAACACAUGCAAGUCGAACGGAAAGGCCCUGCUUUUGUGGGGUGCUCGAGUGGCGAACGGGUGAGUAACACGUGAGUAACCUGCCCUUGACUUUGGGAUAACUUCAGGAAACUGGGGCUAAUACCGGAUAGGAGCUCCUGCUGCAUGGUGGGGGUUGGAAAGUUUCGGCGGUUGGGGAUGGACUCGCGGCUUAUCAGCUUGUUGGUGGGGUAGUGGCUUACCAAGGCUUUGACGGGUAGCCGGCCGGAGAGGGUGACCGGCCACCUGGGGCCUGAGAUAGGGACCAGACUCGUACGGGAGGCAGCAGUGGGGAAUAUUGCACAGUGGGCCGGAGCCUGAGGCAGCAACGCCGCGUGCGGGAUGACGGCCUUCGGGUUGUAAACCGCUUUAGCCUGUGACGAAGCGUGAGUGACGGUAAUGGGUAAAGAAGCACCGGCUAACUACGUG